AGCUUUGCGCAGUGGCAGUAUCGUAGCCAAUGAGGUUUAUCCAAGGCACAAUUAUUGCUAAUUGAAAACUUUUCCCAAUACCCCGCCAUGACCACGUGAAAUAUAGUCGGCGUUGGCAAUUUUUGGCAGUCUCUACGGAGA
ensembl:snRNA U4 U4 spliceosomal RNA